rnacentral:tRNA from 1 species
GAGCCCGUAGCUCAGUUUGGAUAGAGCGUUUGCCUUCUAAGCAAAAGGUCGCAGGUUCAAAUCCUGUCGGGCUCG